AACGAACGCUGGCGGCAUGCCUAACACAUGCAAGUCGAACGAGACCUUCGGGUCUAGUGGCGCACGGGUGCGUAACGCGUGGGAACCUGCCCUUAGGUUCGGAAUAACUCCCCGAAAGGGGUGCUAAUACCGGAUAAUGUCUUCGGACCAAAGAUUUAUCGCCUUUGGAUGGGCCCGCGUUGGAUUAGCUAGUUGGUAGGGUAAAAGCCUACCAAGGCGACGAUCCAUAGCUGGUCUGAGAGGAUGAUCAGCCACACUGGGACUGAGACACGGCCCAGACUCCUACGAGAGGCAGCAGUGGGGAAUAUGGGACAAUGGGCGAAAGCCUGAUCCAGCAAUGCCGCGUGAGUGAUGAAGGCCUUAGGGUUGUAAAGCUCUUUUACCCGGGAUGAUAAUGACAGUACCGGGAGAAUAAGCUCCGGCAAACUCCGU
rnacentral:rRNA from 1 species